rnacentral:rRNA from 1 species
CAGUCGAACGGAGAUUAUACGCAGAGGCGAUUUCGGUCAAAUCAUGUGUAAUCUUAGUGGCGGACGGGUGAGUAACGCGUGGGUAACCUGCCUUACACUGGGGGAUAACACUUAGAAAUAGGUGCUAAUACCGCAUAAGCGCACGAAGCCGCAUGGAUUUGUGUGAAAAACUCCGGUGGUGUAAGAUGGACCCGCGUCUGAUUAGCUUGUUGGCGGGGUAACGGCCCACCAAGGCGACGGUCAGUAGCCGGCCUGAGAGGGUGGACGGCCACAUUGGGACUGAGACACGGCCCAAACUCCUACGGGAGGCAGCAGUGGGGGAUAUUGGACAAUGGGGGGAACCCUGAUCCAGCGACGCCGCGUGAGUGAAGAAGUAUUUCGGUAUGUAAAGCUCUGUCAGCAGGGAAGAAAGAAAUGACGGUACCUGACCAAGAAGCCCCGGCUAACUACGUGCCAGCAGCCGCGGUAAUACGUAGGGGGCAAGCGUUAUCCGGAAUUACUGGGUGUAAAGGGAGCGUAGACGGUUAAGUAAGUCUGGAGUGAAAGUCCGGGGCCCAACCCCGGGACUGCUCUGGAAACUAUUUAACUUGAGUGCAGGAGAGGUAAGCGGAAUUCCUAGUGUAGCGGUGAAAUGCGUAGAUAUUAGGAGGAACACCAGUGGCGAAGGCGGCUUACUGGACUGUAACUGACGUUGAGGCUCGAAAGCGUGGGGAGCAAACAGGAUUAGAUACCCUGGUAGUCCACGCCGUAAACGAUGAUUACUAGGUGUCGGUGGGUAUGGACCCAUCGGUGCCGCAGCAAACGCAGUAAGUAAUCCACCUGG